UGGAGGGGGAGUGGGCAGCCAAAGCGGAGCCCACUUGUGGGGCAGAGCAUGAGGAGCGCUAUGGGGCUGGCACUGUGGGGCUGCCCCACAUCUCAGCACCGGAGCACAGUGGGGUGCCAGGGGGGGACACCGAGCUGCUGCAGCCCCCCACCCCCUCCCAGCCUGCAGCCCCUCUGUGCCCUGUGGACGCCGAUGGGGACCCCGGCCUCACCCAGCUGCACCCCCAGGAAUGAGGUGCACCACGUGAGGAUGCGUCUGCGGUGCUGGGGGGGCUGAUCCUCGAGCUGUCCAACCCUCAGUGAGUGCUGGGAGGGGGUUAGGGUUAGGGUCCCAUUGGCACUUAUGGGGUCUCACUGUCCCCUGUGUGGUCUCACUGUCCCCUGUGGGGUCUCACUAUCCCCUAUGGGCUCUCAUUAUCCCCUAUGGGGUCUCAUUGGUCUCUAUGGGGUCUCACUGUCCCCUAUGGGGUCUCAUUGUCCCUGCAGCCGCCGUGUGAUGAGCGCCCAUCGUGCCCUAUAGGGGUCUCACUAUCCCCUAUGGGGUCUCACUGUCCCUUAUGGGGACUCUCAUUGCCCCCUAUGGGGUCUCAUUGGUCUCUGUGGGGUCUCAUUGUUCCCUAUGGGGUCUCAUUGGUCUCUAUGGGGUCUCAUUAUCCCCUAUGGGGUCCCAUUAUCCUACAGCCGCCGUGUGAUGAGCGCCCAUCGUGCCCUGGAGUCGCU